rnacentral:rRNA from 1 species
AGCGAACGCUGGCGGCAGGCUUAACACAUGCAAGUCGAGCGGGCACUUCGGUGUCAGCGGCCGACGGUUGAGUAACACGUGGGAACGUACCCUUGGGGUCGGAAUAACGCUGGGAAACUAGCGCUAAUACGGGAUACUCGCUUUUGGCGGAAGGCUUGCUGCCGAAGAAUGUGCCCGCGUCUGAUUCGCUCGUUGGGUGGCUAAUGGCCGACCAAGGCGUCGAUCAGUAGCUGGUCUGGGAGAAUGGUCAGCCACACCGGGACGGGGACACGGCCCAGACUCCUACGGGAGGCAGCAGUGGGGAAUAUUGGACCAUGGGCGGAAUCAUGAUCCAGCCAUGCUGGGUGAGUGAUGAAAGCCUUAGGGUUGUAAAGCUCUUUUGACCGGGACGAUAAUGACGGUACCGGAAGAAUAAGCCCCGGCUAACUUCGUG